AUUGAACGCUGGCGGCGUGCCUAACACAUGCAAGUCGAGCGGUAACAGGUGUAGCAAUACAUGCUGACGAGCGGCGGACGGGUGAGUAACGCUUGGGAAUCUGCCUAUUAGUGGGGGACAACCCGGGGAAACGUCGGGCUAAUACCGCAUACGCACUACGGUGGAAAGCCGGGGACCGCAAGGCCUGGCGCUAACAGAUGAGCCCAAGUCGGAUUAGCUAGUUGGUAGGUAACGGCCACCAAGGCGACGAUCCGUAACUGGUCUGAGAGGACGACCAGUCACACCGGAACUGAGACACGGUCCGGACUCCUACGGGAGGCAGCAGUGGGG
rnacentral:rRNA from 1 species